GUCUGCCCGUUUUGUUCUGGUGAUACCCUCGGAUUUUCCGUUUUUUGCAUCAUGUAGUAUGUUUUCGACAUUGCCAUUAUAUUUAAUUGGUUGGUAAGGUUUGUGAUAUCCAUCAAUAGGGCAUCAGUAGCUUGGAUGUAGUGUCGUGCUGUGGCAUCCCUGAGAUUCCUCAGUAAAGUCACUUGCUCCCUAUGCGCUUGCUUUUUGAGGUAGGAUGCUUG